CGGGAAGUAGCUCAGCUUGGUAGAGCACUUGGUUUGGGAGCAAGGGGUCGCAGGUUCGAAUCCUGUCUUCCCGA
rnacentral:tRNA from 1 species